AGCAGCCGCGGUAAUUCCAGCUCCAAUAGCGUAUAUUAAAGUUGUUGCAGUUAAAAAGCUCGUAGUUGAAUUUCGGGAUCAAUUAAUUGGUCGUGCCUCUGGUACGUACUGGUUUUAUUGGUUUCUCCCUUCUGACGAACCAUGAUGUCAUUAAUUUGGUGUCGUGGAGAAUCAGGACUGUUACUUUGAAAAAUUAGAGUGUUUAAAGCAAGCUAACGCUUGAAUACAUUAGCAUGGAAUAAUGAAAUAGGACGUUUGAUCCUAUUUUGUUGGUUUCUAGGAUCGACGUAAUGAUUAAUAGGGAUAGUUGGGGGGCAUUAGUAUUCAAUUGUCAGAGGUGAAAUUCUUGGAUUUAUUGAAGACUAACUACUGCGAAAGCAUUUGCCAAGGAUGUUUUCAUUAAUCAAGAACGAAAGUUAGGGAUCGAAGACGAUCAGAUACCGUCGUAGUCUUAACCAUAAACUAUGCCGACUAGGGAUCGGAUGAUGUUAAUUUUUUAAUGUACUCAUUCGGCGCCUUA
rnacentral:misc_RNA from 1 species